GCCCAUUGGUCUCCAUUCCCCUUUACCGUCCUUAAAGCUGCCACAAAUCUCACAGCAGAGGCAGAACGUCUCUCACAGUCAAUUUUAUAGAUCACUGUGGGAGAACGGAAUAUAGUAAGGAAAGGCCCGAGAAACAAAUAAUUAGUUUUCACUGUGACUGCCUGUGGAGGAUGGCCUGUGUGCCAGGCAGCCAGUGCUUGAGAAUUCAUCACUGGAGGGAGUGUACGUGCAGAACAUCAGUUCAGUGGGAUGCUGGCUCCUCUCGACCAAUAGGAAUUGGUCCAUGGACCAGAACGUUGAUCUUUGCCUUCUCUGAUGCAAAAUUUUCUCUAGCCCAAGCUCAACUUUUUCCAAGCUGAGGGAAGAUGCUGUGAAGUCCUGUAAAAACACAAAGCAAGAUCAGAGGUCACAUGAUGAGAUGCCAGUUCUCUUUUAACUCCAAUGAAGAGGAAAAGAAGGCUUAUAGGGACAUCACUAGGAGGCCCUGGGCUGCGUGCUGCCAUACACGUCCACCAAAAUGUAUGUAUACACAGAGAAGGAUUGAGGGAGAAAAAGAACUGUAGCUAGCCUUAUUGCUGGAUAUUGCAGAUUCCUUACAACUUUGUGUCUCUUUCAGUAUCCAGCAGGAAGGAGGCAAAAUGGGAAGUUCUGUAAGAUCCCAAAUAGGGAAAUAAAUGCUAGUUGUGGGAUAUUUAUUGGGUUUUGCUGUUCCAUAGAAUACAUAUCUAUACCAGAGCUUUCCAGACAUUCCAUGUUGGUGGCAUACUUAUUAGACAUACAUCAUUUCACGACAAUGUUUUACUAGCAAACUAGAGGUUGAACCAACUUGUUAUAAGACAUAUAGACAAAUACAUAAACUGUAAUAAGGGGGGCACAACAUAUCUAUUUUUUUGUGUGGGUCAGGAGCGACUUGAGAAACUGCAAGUCGCUGCUGGUGUGAGAGAAUUGGCCAUGUGUAAGGAUGUUGCCCAGGGGACGCCUGGAUGUUUUGAUGUUUUACCAUCCUUGUGGGAGGCUUCUCUCAUGUCCCCGCAUGGGGAGCUGGAGCUGACAGAGGGAGUUCACCCGCUCACCCUCCCUGAUACGAACCACCGACCUGUUGGUCAGCAGUUCUGUUAGCACAAAGGUUUAAUCCAUUGCGCCAUCAUGGCUCCAACAUCUCUCAUGAAAACUUUUCAUAUUUGUAAGAUCAUAACAUAUAUUUUCAAGUUUUUUGUUAUUUCUCAUUUCAUUUCUCAUUAAGUUUGCGUGACACACCAACACAUUGCAGCUGACACAGCAACGUUUUGCGAUACACUCUUUGGAAAGUUCUAGUCUAUGCUGUACAAUUAAUGCAUUUUGGUAUCACUUUUCAUUGCCAUGGCAUCAUGGAAGCUGUAAUUUUACAAGAUCUUUUGCUUUCUCUGCCAAAGAAUACUGGUGUCUCAUACAACUACAAAUCCCAGAAUUCCAAAGCAUUGAGCCAGGGUAGUUAAAGUGGUGUGAAACUGCACUAAUCCUACAGUGUAGAUGCACCCU
rnacentral:lncRNA from 11 species